CAAUGAAGCAGCUAGUAAUCUUCAUUGUUGGGUUUUUUAUCCUACAGGUUGCAAUUGAACCGAUCAUAUGUGGAAGUCCAUCUCCACCCGAAAAAUCUCCAUUAAAAUCUCCAAUCGGUGGAAGUCCUCGAAUAAAUAAUAACUAUGAAAAACAGUCACCAGCUCCACCAGCGCCAAUUGGCUCUGUAAAACCCGGUGUACCAAAUAAACCAGAAUCUCCUCCCAUAAUUGAAAAAACAGUACAAAAACCGACUCCCACACAAACACCAUCAUGCGGAAAACCAGGAGCGCCCCCUCUGAAUACGUGUGGAAACCCUCAAAAAGCACCACAAUGCGGUGAACGACCAAGUAAUUCUUGUAGUCCAAAAUGCGGUGGAAGAACAAGUAAUUCUCGUGGUUCAAAAUGCAGUCAUAAAAAGCCGCCUAGUUGCGGAAAACCAGGAUUUCCCCCAAAAUGCGAUGGCGGAC